rnacentral:rRNA from 1 species
CCUACGGGUGGCAGCAGUGAGGAAUAUUGGGCAAUGGGCGGGAGCCUGAACCAGCCAAGUCGCGUGAGUGAAGACGGUCCUAUGGAUUGUAAACCUCUUUAGGCGGGGAGCAAUGCCGGGCACGUGUGCCCGGAGGGCGAGUACCCGCAGAAUCAGCAUCGGCUAACUCCGUGCCAGCAGCCGCGGUAAUACGGAGGAUGCGAGCGUUAUCGGGAUUUAUUGGGUUUAAAGGGUGCGUAGGCGGAUUUUUAAGUCAGCGGUAAAAGGUCCGGGCUCAACCCGGGCCGGCCGUUGAAACUGGGGAUCUUGAGUGGGCGAGAAGUAUGCGGAAGGCGUGGUGUAGCGGUGAAAUGCGUAGAUAUUAGGAGGAACACCAGUGGCGAAGGCGGCUUACUGGACUGUAACUGACGUUGAGGCUCGAAAGCGUGGGGAGCAAACAGGAUUAGAUACCCGUGUAGUC